GUGUGUGUGUGUGUGUGUGUGUGUGUGUGUGUGUGUGUGUGUGUGUGUGUGUGUGUGUGGGUUUGACAUGAGAUGGAAGAUUUUUGAGCAUAGCUAGGGUUUUACUGUGCGUGUGUCUCCCACUCACACCUGGCAUGGGGUUCUACGUGCCUGUCCUGGGUUCCUUGUGUGUGUGUGUCAGGCUUGCUUUGACAGUGAUAAUAUUCAUACGGGGGUCUGUGUGAUUGGCUUGGGAUAUUGGAAUGGUCAACUAAAUCAUAGCUGAUGGACGGCCACACGUUUACUUAAGGGCCCCCAGUAGACCUGAAGAGCCCUGAGCGACGCUCCGGAGCGAGAUCCAACACACUGGGCAGGAAGGAGAGUAUCCAACUCAAGUGUAAAAGGAUGCAAGUGGCGUGUUCAGAUCAGUGACUUCAAACUAGGACUACACCAAUCAGGAUCAAUGGAGGAUGGACACCAAAAGGAAUUUCACAAGGAGAGUCUGACGUUGGAAAGGGACCCAAAUGGAUAUUCAAGAUGACCUUCAGACCUGUAAUGAGACGGCUCUUCCUACCUGGCUGGAUUGAUGGAGAGCCCUGUGGAUCUUGUCUUGCUCUCAGUUGCACGUCUUCUCAGGCUGAACUGUAUUUGUUUCUGACAGGACUAGCUGAACGAUUGGUUCCCUUAAAUCAGAACCAAUCCGGGAACUCCAGCUAGUGCGUUCUUCGAGCUGAAGUUGUGCUCUUCAGCUGAGGAGGUAAGGAAACCUUCACUGGGGCUUCAAGGUAUAAAGAGGAGAGUGUUUCAAAGUGUUCCAUGGUACUCUGAUGAAGACUGUUGUGUUCCACUGGCUGCGAGGAAGAACCCACACAUCUUCCUCUUGGCCUUUCUCCUCUGAGAAUCCUGGCACCAUCUUGAAGGAUAUUCCAGCUCAUGUAACUGUCACGAUAGAUUCUCAAAUACUUGGUUUCUCCUGAGGGGCGUGUCUAUGGAACUGAAGACUUCCGACAGCACUGUAUCCCAGCAUGCAUCUCUGCUCACUCGGACCACACCCCCAUGAGUAGGAUGCAACACUCUAGUGAUGGAGAUGUAGAUUUUUAUAAGUAACGAGGGAGCAGACUAAGGUGUUUAGAACACAAUGGAAUGUCAAGUCUGUAAAUCUUUAAACCAUGAAGAUGGUUGGAUAGUUCAGGAAUUGGGCUUAUUUUUAUUAUGGGCAGUCCUUUCACUCAGAUGCCCACUUCUCACUGGAGCUGUACAUGUGUUGGUUGGCUGGCAUGAUUUUCUGGUGAUGAGGUGGUCAGGGUGACGUUGCAGAGCUAUGGUCGGCUCUCUGUGAGGUCAACGUUUAGAUUUGCUCUGUAUGGUUUGUACCCUGAAUAAUCUAGAUAAUUGUAAAAUGUUGACAGUUUUGUAUUGAAUGAUUUUUAGGUUAAAAGUUGUUGUGGGACAUACAUGGUAGUUUGGUUCUUCGUAUGGUUUUGAGUGAUAUAACUUGUACACACUGGGUGCUUAAUAAUGUAAAGGUACACUGAAUACUAUUAAUGACCAACAGCAACAAACAGAUCUCCUCAAGGUAAGUCUGUUGGCUGUGUUUUAAUGAAGACCAUCGCUGGACUUCAGGAUCUUCCUCCGUUCAGCUCAAGGUGAGGCGCUGGUUCUGUUUUCUUUGGUUGGUUCCGGCCGGAAUGUUCGGAUUCCAGUCGGACGGUUUGUGCUUCCCGCCGUGGAAGGUUCUGUGUGCAGUCACUUGAUUUAGUCCCAAUGGUUAGAAUAGAACAUUGUAGUCUUGACAACCAUAAGAAACCACCUGGCAUUUAGUUGGACGGGAGUCCCCUGAGGGAAUCUGGCGGAACGUUCUGGAUUGUAUUUGCGAAACCUCGAGCCGUUGCCAACGGAAACUAUUUUUCAGUCGGUUUCCAUUGGGAAUUGUUGCCCCUAUCUUAAACAACUAAAGUUUGAUAUUAAAUACAUACUGACACGUACGUCGUACAAUAUGUUGAUCAUUUCCGAUGGUUGCGCCGUACUCUUAACCACGAUGACGUUGCGGGACUCUCACUGCGUACAAAACAGCGUUCUACUUGCGGGCCCAUUUUUGACAUCAAGGUCGAAGAUAAUUUGACAUUUCUUCAACGGAACCCAGCACCUGAAUAUGGCUGAGUAUAUUUGAUUUAAUAUCGAUACUGCUUAGUGUUCUUUGUUACUUCAGCUUUUGUACGUUCUAAAUAUCUGCUGUCAUUAAUUGGCACAGAAGUUAAACCAUACCCAAUGGAAUGAAGUUAAACGACUUUGGUGCAGAGCUAACAACUGGAUAAUAUAAAAGCUAAAAUAAUGGCCGUCAUUCCCACAUGUUACAGUAGAAGAUACUCUAGAACUGUACAAGGUUAAAAAAGUAACAUGUAGUUUGUCCCAAGGUGUCUGCCUCCUCACCCAGAGCCAGACCUCCACCUCCUCACCCAGAGCCAGACCUCCACCUCCUCACCCAGAGCCAGACCUCCACCUCCUGUCAGAAGUCCUCCAGAACAGCUGAAAGGGGAGGCUGAGAGGCUGGGGACCGGAGGCUUGUGGUGCCAGGGUGGACCGGAGACUGAGGCUGGAGACCAGGGGCCUGCAGCACCGGACCAGAGGGUAACCAUCACCAAGCUCAUCUGAAACACUAAAAUCCACGACCAGGAAUCCAUGGCUGAAGGAGGAGCCGUGCUGAUGGAGGAGCCCUGCUGAAGGCCCUGGGCUGGUGGAGGAGCUGGUGGAGGGCCUGCCUGGUGAAUGACGUCUGUCGUGGGGUAGAUGGAGCUUGACUCUGAAGUGAUCAUCCCACUCACUGCCACUUCUCGUAGAAUACUGCUACCACAAACUACCGGCGUUUGUACCAUAUAUACCAGACGACUACAUCUGUUUUACCACAUGUUGAAGCAAGACUUCGUUUGUUCCAGACCAGGACUCUGUCUGAGGAGAGCUGCUGGAGGAGCUGAGAUGCUGGAGGACGACUAGGAAUCGACCAACAAGGAUUCCUCAACGUGUUUCUGGAGCGGAGGCGAGCUGGUAGGGGAGCCGUGAAUCUGGAGGAUGACCAUCACUCUACCAGGGAUUACUUUAGGGCCAGACUCGCGCUGUUUGUUCCAGACCAGGACUCUGGCUCAGGAGAGCUGAUGGUGGUGCCAAGACUCUGGAGGACGGCAUCAAUCCACCAACCAGGAUCCUCACCAGGAAUCUCGAGGACUGAUGGAGAAGCCAUACAUCUGGAAGGCAAAUCCUGAGGACCACCAGGACUCUACCAUCAAGGAUUCCUCAUAAAGACACACCUGAGCUGAACCUCAACUGAUCCUGUUUGGUCGGGGGUAGACACACCUGAGCUGAACCCGCCCUGAUCCUGACAUCCUGCUGGUCCCGUCUCCUCAGUUCAUCUGAGCCUCGUCCUCCAGAAGACCUGCUGAACUCAGCAGUCUGAGGCUGAUGGAUCAAUGACCUCCAGUGGGAGUGAUCUUCUUGACCCCACUUGUAACCGUGUGCUUCCACACGCCUUUCCCUCACGUCUGUCACUAACCUCACUACUUCACUACUCUCUACUGCUUCCUCUUUUCUUCCUUCUCUGUGGUUCGAACCUUUACAUGGAAGGCGCGUCUUCCUGCCCUCAGAGGGUUCAGCGUUAGGGUUGAGAGUCAGGGUUUAGAGUCAGGGACAGAGCUGGUCAGGGAGAACUGCUUUUACACAAACCUCUUCACUUGCUUUCGGAAUGGUGGUGACAUUUUGAAAAGAUGUAGUUGGGAAAAUGUUUUCCUCUGCUUUCCUUUACAAAAUUGUAUUAAACUUCUGUCAAGUGUUUUUGUUUAUAUAUUAAAAUCCCACAUUGACUACAUGUUUGUUGCGGUUCAUUUAAUUGUCCUUUAACUUGGUUAAUGUCAAGCUAAACUCCUG
ensembl:lncRNA